rnacentral:rRNA from 1 species
GAUGAACGCUGGCGGCGUGCCUAAUACAUGCAAGUCGAGCGAACGGACGAGAAGCUUGCUUCUCUGAUGUUAGCGGCGGACGGGUGAGUAACACGUGGAUAACCUACCUAUAAGACUGGGAUAACUUCGGGAAACCGGAGCUAAUACCGGAUAAUAUUUUGAACCGCAUGGUUCAAAAGUGAAAGACGGUCUUGCUGUCACUUAUAGAGGGAUCCGCGCUGCAUUAGCUAGUUGGUAAGGUAACGGCUUACCAAGGCAACGAUGCAUAGCCGACCUGAGAGGGUGAUAGGCCACACUGGAACUGAGACACGGUCCAGACUACUACGGGAGGCAGCAGUAGGGAAUCUUCCGCAAUGGGCGAAAGCCUUACGGAGCAGCGCCGCGUGAGUGAUGAAGGUCUUCGGAUCGUAAAACUCUGUUAUUAGGGAAGAACAUAUGUGUAAGUAACUGUGCACAUCUUGACGGUACCUAAUCAGAAAGCCACGGCUAACUACGUG